ACGGAAGGCAGCAGUGGGGAAUAUUGCACAAUGGGCGAAAGCCUGAUGCAGCGACGCCGCGUGAGUGAAGAAGUAUCUCGGUAUGUAAAGCUCUAUCAGCAGGGAAGAAAAUGACGGUACCUGACUAAGAAGCCCCGGCUAACUACGUGCCAGCAGCCGCGGUAAUACGUAGGGGGCAAGCGUUAUCCGGAUUUACUGGGUGUAAAGGGAGCGUAGACGGUUUGGCAAGUCUGAAGUGAAAUGCGGGGGCUCAACUCCUGAACUGCUUUGGAAACUGUCGAACUAGAGUGCAGGAGAGGUAAGUGGAAUUCCUAGUGUAGCGGUGAAAUACGUAGAUAUUAGGAGGAACACCAGUGGCGAAGGCGGCUUACUGGACUGUAACUGACGUUGAGGCUCGAAAGCGUGGGGAGCAAACAGGAUUAGAUACCCUGGUA
rnacentral:rRNA from 2 species